GAGGGAUGGCCGAGCGGCUUAAGGCGCCGGUCUUGAAAACCGGUAUACGUGCAAGCGUAUCGUGGGUUCGAAUCCCACUCCCUCC
rnacentral:tRNA from 1 species